rnacentral:rRNA from 1 species
GACGAACGCUGGCGGCGUGCUUAACACAUGCAAGUCGAACGGAAAGGCCCUGCUUUUGUGGGGUGCUCGAUUGGCGAACGGGUGAGUAACACGUGAGUAACCUGCCCUUGACUUUGGUAUAACUUCAGGAAACUGGGGCUAAUACCGGACAGGAGCUCCUGCUGCAUGUUGGGGGUUGGAAAGUUUCGGCGGUUGGGGAUGGAAUCGCGGCUUAUCAGCUUGUUGGUGGGGUAGUGGCUUACAAAGGGUUUGACGGGUAGCCGGCCUGAGAGGGUGACCGGCCAAAUUGGGACUGGGGUACGGCCCAGACUGCUACGGGAGGCAGCAGUGGGGAAUAUUGCACAAUGGGCGGAAGCCUGAUGCAGCAACGCCGCGUGCGGGAUGACGGCAUUCGGGUUGUAAACCGCUUUCGCCUGUGACGAAGCGUGAGUGACGGUAAUGGGUAAAGAAGCACCGGCUAACUACGUG